CAGUCGCCGCGGUAAUACGGAGGGAGCUAGCGUUGUUCGGAAUUACUGGGCGUAAAGCGCACGUAGGCGGCUUUGUAAGUUAGAGGUGAAAGCCUGGAGCUCAACUCCAGAAUUGCCUUUAAGACUGCAUCGCUUGAAUCCAGGAGAGGUGAGUGGAAUUCCGAGUGUAGAGGUGAAAUUCGUAGAUAUUCGGAAGGACACCAGUGGCGAAGGCGGCUCACUGGACUGGUAUUGACGCUGAGGUGCGAAAGCGUGGGGAGCAAACAGGAUUAGAUACCCCCGUAGUCCCUGUCUCUUAUAC
rnacentral:rRNA from 1 species